rnacentral:rRNA from 1 species
GACGAACGCUGGCGGCGUGCCUAAUACAUGCAAGUAGAACGCACGGUUUAUACCGUAGCUUGCUACACCAUAGACUGUGAGUUGCGAACGGGUGAGUAACGCGUAGGUAACCUGCCUGGUAGCGGGGGAUAACUAUUGGAAACGAUAGCUAAUACCGCAUAAUAUUAAUUAUUGCAUGAUAAUUAAUUGAAAGGUGCAAUUGCACCACUACCAGAUGGACCUGCGUUGUAUUAGCUAGUAGGUGAGGUAACGGCUCACCUAGGCGACGAUACAUAGCCGACCUGAGAGGGUGAUCGGCCACACUGGGACUGAGACACGGCCCAGACUCCUACGGGAGGCAGCAGUAGGGAAUCUUCGGCAAUGGACGAAAGUCUGACCGAGCAACGCCGCGUGAGUGAAGAAGGUUUUCGGAUCGUAAAGCUCUGUUGUAAGAGAAGAACGGGUGUGAGAGUGGAAAGUUCACACUGUGACGGUAGCUUACCAGAAAGGGACGGCUAACUACGUG